GAUUAUGACGUACUUGUACUGAUUGAGAUUUUAACACGAAGUGAGUGGCGAACGGGUGAGUAACACGUGGGUAACCUGCCCAGAAGUAGGGGAUAACACCUGGAAACAGAUGCUAAUACCGUAUAACAGAGAAAACCGCAUGGUUUUCUUUUAAAAGAUGGCUCUGCUAUCACUUCUGGAUGGACCCGCGGCGUAUUAGCUAGUUGGUGAGGUAAAGGCUCACCAAGGCAGUGAUACGUAGCCGACCUGAGAGGGUAAUCGGCCACAUUGGGACUGAGACACGGCCCAGACUCCUACGGGAGGCAGCAGUAGGGAAUCUUCCACAAUGGACGCAAGUCUGAUGGAGCAACGCCGCGUGAGUGAAGAAGGGUUUCGGCUCGUAAAGCUCUGUUGUUAAAGAAGAACGUGGGUAAGAGUAACUGUUUACCCAGUGACGGUAUUUAACCAGAAAGCCACGGCUAACUACGUGCCAGCAGCCGCGGUAAUACGUAGGUGGCAAGCGUUAUCCGGAUUUAUUGGGCGUAAAGCGAGCGCAGGCGGUCUUUUAAGUCUAAUGUGAAAGCCUUCGGCUCAACCGAAGAAGUGCAUUGGAAACUGGGAGACUUGAGUGCAGAAGAGGACAGUGGAACUCCAUUGGUAGC
rnacentral:rRNA from 1 species